GAUGAAGAACGCAGCGAAAUGCGAUAAGUAAUGUGAAUUGCAGAAUUCAGUGAAUCAUCGAGUCUUUGAACGCACAUUGCGCCCCCUGGUAUUCCGGGGGGCAUGCCUGUCCGAGCGUCAUUGCUGCCCUCAAGCACGGCUUGUGUGUUGGGCCCCCGUCCCCGGUUUCCCCCGGGGACGGGCCCGAAAGGCAGCGGCGGCACCGCGUCCGGUCCUCGAGCGUAUCGGGCUUUGUCACCCGCUCUGUAGGCCCGGCCGGCGCCAGCCGACACCCAACUUUAUUUCUAAGGUUGACCUCGGAUCAGGUAGGGAUACCCGCUGAACUUAAGCAUAUCAAUAAGCGGAGGA
rnacentral:misc_RNA from 1 species